rnacentral:rRNA from 1 species
AGAGUUUGAUCCUGGCUCAGGACGAACGCUGGCGGCGUGCCUAACACAUGCAAGUCGAGCGGGGAACGGAUGGCAGCUUGCUGCCGUUUGUUUCUAGCGGCGGACGGGUGAGUAACGCGUGAGCAACCUGCCUUUAUCAGGGGGAUAACGCAUCAAAAGAUGUGCUAAUACCGCGUAAGACCACAGCUUCACAUGGAGCGGAGGUCAAAGGAGCAAUCCGGAUAAAGAUGGGCUCGCGUCCGAUUAGCUAGUUGGUGAGAUAACAGCCCACCAAGGCGACGAUCGGUAGCCGACCUGAGAGGGUGAUCGGCCACAUUGGAACUGAGAGACGGUCCAGACUCCUACGGGAGGCAGCAGUGGGGAAUAUUGGGCAAUGGGCGAAAGCCUGACCCAGCAACGCCGCGUGAGGGAAGAAGGGUUUCGGCUCGUAAACCUCUGUCCUAUGGGACGAAGGAAGUGACGGUACCAUAGGAGGAAGCCCCGGCUAACUACGUGCCAGCAGCCGCGGUAAUACGUAGGGGGCGAGCGUUGUCCGGAAUGAUUGGGCGUAAAGGGCGCGUAGGCGGCCUGCUAAGUCUGGAGUGAAAGUCCUGCUUUCAAGGUGGGAAUUGCUUUGGAUACUGGUGGGCUGGAGUGCAGGAGAGGAAAGCGGAAUUACCGGUGUAGCGGUGAAAUGCGUAGAGAUCGGUAGGAACACCAGUGGCGAAGGCGGCUUUCUGGACUGAAACUGACGCUGAGGCGCGAAAGCGUGGGGAGCAAACAGGAUUAGAUACCCUGGUAGUCCACGCGGUAAACGAUGAAUGCUAGGUGUAGGAGGUAUGGACCCCUUCUGUGCCGCAGUAAACACAAUAAGCAUUCGUCCUGGGGAGUACGGCCGCAAGGUUGAAACUUCAAAGGAAUUGGCGGGGGCCCGCACAAGCAGCGGAGCAUGUGGUUUAAUUUGAAGCAACGCGAAGAACCUUACCAGGUCUUGACAUCCGUGUAAAGCCGCAGAGUUGCGGUGUGAGCUUGCUCUAUACGAGACAGGUGGUGCAUGGUUGUCGUCAGCUCGUGUUGUGAGAUGUUGGGUUAAGUCCCGCAACGAGCGCAACCCUUAUCGUCCGUUAUUAACGCGUAAAGGGGAGGAUUCAGCCGAGACCGCCGGGGACAACUCGGAGGAAGGUGGGGAGGACGUCAAAUCAUCAUGCCCCUUUCGACCUGGGCUACACACGUGCUACAAUGGGUACAACAAAGAGAAGCGAGACCGCAAGGUGGAGCAAAACUCAGAAAAGUACUCUCAGUUCAGAUUGUGGGCUGCAACCCGCCCACAUGAAGUUGGAGUUGCUAGUAAUCGCGGAUCAGCAUGCCGCGGUGAAUACGUUCCCGGGCCUUGCACACACCGCCCGUCA